GACGAACGCUGGCGGCGUGCUUAACACAUGCAAGUCGAACGAGUGGGAACGGGUGAGUAACGCGUGGGUAACCUCCCAUCAGAGGGGAUAACACUUGGAAACAGGUGCUAAACCGCUACUGCUGGAUGGACUCGCGUUGCAUUAGCUAGUUGGUGAGGUAACGGCUCACCACGGCGACGAUGCAUAGCCGACCUGAGAGGGUGAUCGGCCACACUGGGACUGAGACACGGCCCAGACUCCUACGGGAGGCAGCAGUAGGGAAUCUUCGGCAAUGGACGAAAGGCUGACCGAGCAACGCCGCGUGAGUGAAGAAGGUUUUAGGAUUGUAAAACUCUGUUGGUAGAGAAGCGGUAUCUAACGAGAAAGCCACGGCUAACUACGUGCCAGCAGCCGCGGUAAUUC
rnacentral:rRNA from 1 species